AUCAAUCAGGCUGGUUCCGCGGUGCGCCUCGCCCAUCGUGCUUGUCGCGGAACGAGAUCGAACGGUGAGCUAAGCAUGUAGAUCCAGGCGUUGAACGCCUUCGGACGCGGGUUCGACUCCCGCCACCUCCACCA
rnacentral:tmRNA from 1 species